CUGGUAGCUCAGUUGGUAGAGCAGAGGACUGAAAAUCCUUGUGUCGCUGGUUCGAUUCCGGCCCGGGC
rnacentral:tRNA from 1 species